rnacentral:rRNA from 1 species
AUAAUAGACUACCCGGGUAGUCCACGCCGUAAACGAUGCUUACUAGGUUGUGGCGGUUCUGACGCCGGCACGAGCCGAAGCCAAAGUGUUAAGUAAGCCGCCUGGGGAGUACGGUCGCAAGGCUAAAACUCAAAGGAAUUGACGGGGGCUCACACAAGCGGUGGAGCAUGUGGAUUAAUUCGAAGCAACGCGCAGAACCUUACCUGGGUUUGACAUGCUUGGAUGCUUGCCUGGAAACAGGUUAAGCUACCCUUCGGGGUGAAACUUGCACAGGUGCUGCAUGGCUGUCGUCAGCUCGUGUCGUGAGAUGUCGGGUUAAGUCCUCUAACGAGCGAAACCCUUGCCGUUAGUUACCAGCGGGUCAUGCCGGGAACUCUAACGGGACUGCCGGUGUUAAACCGGAGGAAGGUGGGGAUGACGUCAAGUCAUCAUGGCCUUUAUGCCCAGGGCAUCACACGUGCUACAAUGGCCGGUACAAAGCGACGCAAGACCGCGAGGUGGAGCCAAUCGCAAAAAACCGGUCCCAGUUCGGAUUGCAGGCUGGC